CUUCAGGCUCCUUCUCCCCCUCUGCCCCUUCCUCCCCGCCCUGGAGGAUUUCUUUCUUUUCCUCAGCCCCUUGACCAGGCUGCUCUCCUUCCAUCAUUUCUUGGGCUUUUAUAGGGCUCGUCUUCCUGUUGGCUUCUUCUCCUUCAUUGGCUACGUCGGCUGUGUUAUCCGUGGCGUUCUCAAACUUGGUUUCUGAGAAUUGUGUCUCACUCUUUUCGGUAGGGUUACUUUUCUCAGCAGAUAAUGAUUUCUUCUUUUCGUAACCUUCUGACCCUUCUUCUUUUGGAAGUUCCUCAGUCAGUUCUUGGUCUUUGCUCUUUGCGACCCCUUCAAUCACCAGCCAUAAGGCUUUGCCGUGGUCCAGGAGCUCAUCACCUUCAGGAGUCUUCACACCUAAAGUCUGCUCAUCUUCUGUGGCCAGAAGCUGAUCAAAUUCUGCUCCUGAGGUCAGCUCGCCUUCUGUUCCUGAGGUCACCUGGCCUUCUAGCGUGGAGGCCAGCUCCUCUUCUGCCCCUGGAGUCACCUGGCCUUCUGGCCCAGAGGUCAGCUCGUCUUCUGCCACUGAGGCCUGCGGGCCUUCUGCCUCUGAGGUCAGCUCACCUUCUGCCGCUGAGGCCUGCUGGCCUUCUGCCUCUGAGGUCAGCUCACCUUCUGCUCCUGAGGCCUGCUGGCCUUCUGCCUCUGAGGUCAACUGGCCUUCUGGCCCUGAGAUCUGCUGGCCUUCUUGCCCUGAGGUCGGCUGGCCUUCUACUUCUGAGGUCAGAUCCUCUUCUGCCUCUGAGGUCGGCUGAUCUUCUGAGGUUUGCGGGGCUUCUGGCCCAGAGGUCUCCUCCCCUUCUACUCCUGAGAUCUCCUCACCUUGGGCCUCUAAGAUCUCCUCACCUUGGGCCUCUAAAAUCUGCUUGCCUUCUGUCUCUGAGGUCUCUGCUUCUACCCCUGAAGUGUGCUUGCUUUCUGACUCCGAGGUCUCCUCCUGUACCACUGGGGUCUGCUGGCCUGACUUUGAAGACCGCCUGCUUUCUGCCCUUGAGGGCCGCUUGCUUUCUGCCCCUGAGGGCCGCUUGCUUUCUGUUCCUGAGGGCCUCCUGCUUUCCCCAAGCGAGGGCUUCCUGCUUUCCCCAAGUGAGGGCCGCCUGCUUUCCAAGAGUGAGGGCCGCCUGCUUUCCGUACCGGAGGGCCGCCUGCUUUUGUGGGAGGGCUUCCUGCUU
rnacentral:lncRNA from 1 species